UAAAAAAGAAGAUGCUAGGUUGAAUAUAAAAUACCCAAAAGAAAAUGUUGUAAUUGAACCAAAAGAAUUAAAGAAAAGAGAGAGAAAAUAGUUGAAGAAGAAAAUAUGAUGAAGAAGAAACUAAUGUCGAAAUUAUGCAGAUACAAGGAAAAGAAGCUAAUGCAGAUGAAAAGACUUGAAUAAUUCUAGUAACACUAGAGAAACUAAUUAUAAACAGGACACUAAGUAGAGAAGAUCCACUUAUGUUAGGAUUAGG
rnacentral:lncRNA from 1 species